rnacentral:tRNA from 1 species
GGCAAGGUGGCCGAGCGGUCUAAGGCGCCACGUUAAGGAGUUUCAAAUCCUUGAUCCUGACUCUUGCGAGUCUUCCGUGGUCUCGAAAGGGGCGUGAGUUCGAAUCUCACCCUUGUCA